CGAGCUGGCAGGACGGUCGCGGCCCGGGUUUCCCGGUCCGAGGAAAGUCCGGACUCCGCAGGGCAGGGUGGUUGCUAACGGCAACCCGGGGUGACCCGCGGGACAGUGCCACAGAGAACAGACCGCCCUCGCCGGAUCUCGAUCCGGUGAGGGUAAGGGUGAAACGGCGGUGUAAGAGACCACCAGCAUCCCGGGUGACCGGGAUGGCUCGGUAAACCCCACCCGGAGCAAGGCCAAGAGGGAGCGCCCGGCGCUCCUGCGCAGGCGAUCGAGGGCGGCCCGCCCGAGCCUGCGGGUAGGCCGCUGGAGCCUGCCGGCGACGGCAGGCCGAGAUGGAUGACCGUCGCCCGGACGGCCGCGAGGCCGGUCGGGAACAGGAUCCGGCUUACAUGCCAGCUCGUCCG
rnacentral:RNase_P_RNA from 1 species